rnacentral:tRNA from 1 species
GUCCGGGCGCUCGGUCGGCGGGGCGAGCACACCGAUCCCGUCGGUGUGCGACACGACCUCGGGGUGCAGGCUCAGUUCGAGCGGCAGCCCGGAUCC